GGAUCAGCAGGUUCGGUCGUGCCAACUGGUAUGUACUAGGCUUCGCUGAUCUCCUCCUUCUUGUAGAACCGUAAUGCCAUUAAUUUGGUGUUGCGGGGAAACAGGACUGUUACUUUGAAAAAAUUAGAGUGUUUAAAGCAGGCUAGCGCCUGAAUACAUUAGCAUGGAAUAAUGAAAUAGGACGUUCGAACCUAUUUUGUUGGUUCUCUAGGAUUGACGUA
rnacentral:rRNA from 1 species